AUCAAUUAGUCCAGGCACAUUGACACAAGCCCCUGGAUUUUGCAACGUGAUGGCGGUGUUUGACAACUACCAUUCUGCUUUAGCUUUCCUCCAGAAUACCUGCCUUGCAUUGGCCCUGGGUAAAUGUUUCCCUUGGCUGUGAAUAGGCAAUUAAAAUUCUGAACCUUUUAUGGCUCUGGAAGCUUAUCCGAUGAAACAAUACUCAUCCAGGCGGAUGGCCCACCAGCGCAAAGGGCUGAGGCCGCUGUAAGCCAAGGUACGCAACGCUUGCUAAACAGGAAUCCCUGGAAUGAAUCCAUGCAUGAGGCCUUUGUGCCAUGUGACAGUUGAAGGCUGUGGUGACCCCGGAACCGUCCCACUCCGAGACGCCUUAACACCGUUUUUCUGCUGUUACAAACCACAGAGCAACGCGUGUGCCUCCUCCCGCCCUGGGGACUCUUUCUGUGGGAGAGGUGCCUGGAUUUAGAGGAGCGACCACUCUUCAUUUGUAGGUACUCUCCCUAGCCUGGGAGCCCUUCAGCUCCCACUCCAGAGUGGUUGUUGGUGGUAAUACGCCAGGCCUGGGGAAGCAGGAGUGGGAAGGUGUGAGAGGUGGGGGAGUGUGGUUGUCAACUGUUCUGAUUUUCCACCAGGAUCUUGGUCACUUUCCCAGUUGUCACUCGGCCCACAAACUAGGAUGUGAGCAGCAUAUUAAGAAUCUGCAGAGAUGUUCCCGUCUGCCCGGCAUAUGGAUGUCCUUCUGGGCUGCAAAGUGGCAUCCUGUGGGCAACUCCCCCCACAACAACCAGCUGUGAGCUGUGCCCAGGCACAGAGGGACCUGGCUUUCCCUGUUUCUGCAGAUGGAGCCCAGGGUUUCAGGGAGGGAGGGGGCAGGCUGGGACCUGUUGGGGAUCUGGGCACUUUCUCAUGCUCCUUGAGCUGCAAGUCAUAGAAGGAGUGGGGUGGGAGCUGGGAAUGUACCUUCCCAAGGCCACUGGCAGAACCAGCAGGCCCUUUGCUCUGGGAUGAGCUCCCUCUGAGGGGUGGGGACAGUAAAGCGGACCGAAGUCCCUGUUCUGCGGGAUGGAAACUGGCUCCCCUCCAUUGUACAGGCCAGCUCUGGGGAUUUGGGCAGCAGAUUUGGGGUUGACAGCAGAAUGACAUGAUCACCAGUUGACCUUGGCCAGGAUGCCAGCUUACUUUCUCGCUUACUUCUGCAGGUUCUUUGUUCUGCGGAAAAUAUUUAUGGCCAGGCAAGGUGGCUUACACC
rnacentral:lncRNA from 1 species